rnacentral:rRNA from 1 species
CCAGGAUUAGACUGAAAGAGAAGAUUUCCGAAACGAAAUUGUGCUACAGCGCUCUUUCUCAGGUGGUGCAUGGCUGUCGUCAGCUCGUGUCGUGAGAUGUUGACUUAAGUGUCGCAACGAGCGCAACCCUUGUCCUUAGUUCAUUGUCUAAGGAGACUGCCGAUUAAAAAUCGGAGGAAGGCGAGGACGACGUCAAGUCAUCAUGCCCCUUAUGUCCUGGGCUACACACGUGCUACAAUGGGAAUGACAAAAAGUAGCAAAUUCGCGAGAAUAAGCAAAUCUCUAAACAUUUCCUUAGUUCAGAUUGCAGACUGCAACU